rnacentral:rRNA from 1 species
CCUACGGGAGGCAGCAGUAGGGAAUCUUCCGCAAUGGACGAAAGUCUGACGGAGCAACGCCGCGUGAACGAUGAAGGCCUUCGGGUCGUAAAGUUCUGUUGUUAGGGAAGAACAAGUGCUAGUUAAAUAAGCUGGCACCUUGACGGUACCUAACCAGAAAGCCACGGCUAACUACGUGCCAGCAGCCGCGGUAAUACGUAGGUGGCAAGCGUUGUCCGGAAUUAUUGGGCGUAAAGCGCGCGCAGGCGGUUUCUUAAGUCUGAUGUGAAAGCCCCCGGCUCAACCGGGGAGGGUCAUUGGAAACUGGGAAACUUGAGUGCAGAAGAGGAAAGUGGAAUUCCAAGUGUAGCGGUGAAAUGCGUAGAGAUUUGGAGGAACACCAGUGGCGAAGGCGACUUUCUGGUCUGUAACUGACGCUGAGGCGCGAAAGCGUGGGGAGCAAACAGGAUUAGAUACCCUGGUAGUCCACGCUGUAAACGAUGAGUGCUAAGUGUUAGAGGGUUUCCGCCCUUUAGUGCUGAAGCUAACGCAUUAAGCNCNCCGCCGUCGGGAGGUACGGUCGGCGAGACUACGAACGUACGAAGGAAAGUUAGUACGGCGUGAGACGUCGCCGACGGACGACGACCGAGGGAGGUAGG